rnacentral:rRNA from 1 species
UACGUAGGGACCAAGCGUUGUUCGGAUUUACUGGGCGUAAAGGGCGCGUAGGCGGCGCGGUAAGUCACUUGUGAAAUCUCUGAGCUUAACUCAGAACGGCCAAGUGAUACUGCAGUGCUAGAGUGUGGAAGGGGCAAUCGGAAUUCUUGGUGUAGCGGUGAAAUGCGUAGAUAUCAGGAGGAACACCAGUGGCAAAGGCGGCACUCUGGGCCGGUACUGACGCUGAGGAGCGAAAGCGUGGGGAGCGAACAGG